CCCGUAGGGACCAAGCGUUGUCCGGAUUCAUUGGGCGUAAAGAGCUCGUAGGCGGUUCGAUAAGUCGGGUGUGAAACCUCCAGGCUCAACCUGGAGACGCCACCCGAUACUGUCGUGACUAGAGUCCAGUAGGGGAGCGUGGAAUUCCUGGUGUAGCGGUGAAAUGCGCAGAUAUCAGGAGGAACACCAGCGGCGAAGGCGGCGCUCUGGGCUGGAACUGACGCUGAGGAGCGAAAGCGUGGGGAGCGAACAGG
rnacentral:rRNA from 1 species